rnacentral:lncRNA from 1 species
CCUGCUACAAUCUACUCCAAACUGAAACAACCCAAUCCAAAUGGAAUGGGGGCAAUCACAACAACUAGCAAUAUGAUCUUCAAGAUGAAGUACAGAAGCUCCCAACUGCAAGAGCUCAUAUGAAGCCCCGUAAGACAGUCAAUGUGAGUUAUAAAAUGCAGUAGAAACAUGUGUCGUAUUAUUAGUAGAGAACUACACGAAAGAUGCCAAAGUAUUUAGACAAUAACAGGUGGAUUGGCCAAAUUACAAACCAUGUACCCAAAUGCAGAAACUGUGAAGCAGCUUUAGGAAGGAGCAAGCCUUGGAAACAAGACAUGCUUGCAUAAAAUAUAACAUCCCAAAGAAAAAUCUUAUGAUAAUCCAGCUGAAAAAAACUCAUUGCUCAUAAAUUUAAAGCCAAAUAUUAAAAAGCAUGAGUAAAGAUAUAUCCAAAUUAACCACAAGUACUAUCAUAGCAAACCUAUCACUUACGAUUUACAGCUAAAUCUUAAAAAGUGAUCAACAAAAUGGGAUUUUUUUUAUUUUUUUAGAGAUUACUAAUGGAAAAAAAAAAAAUCAAUUCCAUGAUAGAUGACCAAAAAGCUAACAGACAAAGAAUAAUUGUCAUAAAGCAAUGGUGCAACAUUAGCCAAAAAAGAAAAAAAAAAUGCAUGGUAGGCAGCCAGAAAAUUAAAUGCUAAAAAUAGCAAUUAGGAAUCAAUUUACACAUAACUUGAUUCUCUCCAAAGUUCAAAUGUUGUAGUUAAUGAAACUUGAAUUCUAGAGUUAAAAGAGCAACUUUAAUUGUUUUCUGUGGACAUACGAGGGUGAGAUAGGGAACAAAUGGACACAAAUUUAUAUUCCAGUGAUGUUUAAAUUUAUGUAGUGAAUAACAGUUAUCAGGUAAUUUAGAAAGCAGGAAGAGUUUAGACAAAAAUGACUAUGAAAGUUGGAGUGCUGGUCCCUUUGUCAGUUUACCACAGAUGGCUCAAUACGUGGAGCUCAUAUAUGAUACAUUCUUCUGUCCGUUGAUAUAAAAGAUUAUGAAUGAUCCAAUAACAAUAGAAAGUGGAAUAACAUAUAAGAGGACAACAAUUCUCAAAUGGUUUGUUAGUUUGAGAAUACUGAGGAAAUUGUUUGUCCAAAGUGAGGAUUGAACCUAAAGAGCACAAAUUCGAUUGUUGGCGUAGCUCUAAAGGCAAUAAUUGAUGAGUGGAAGGAAAGAAAUGAUGCUGCAAGCAUUAAAGUUACUCUGGAAACUUUAUUGUUGGAUAGUGUUGGAAUGAUCCUAAACCAGAUCCAGCGUGAAAAUAAGUUGAUGGGAUUUUUUUUCUUUUGCUUGUGUAUUUAAGUGAUUAUCAUUGAAGUAUUU